rnacentral:rRNA from 1 species
AGUAACGGCGAGUGAAGCGGGAAGAGCUCAAAUUUAAAAUCUGGCGGUGUAUUCCGUCCGAGUUGUAGUCUAGAGAAGCAUCAUCCGUGCUGGACCAUGUACAAGUCUCUUGGAACAGAGCGUCAUAGAGGGUGAGAAUCCCGUCCUUGACAUGGACUCCCAGUACUUUGUGUUGUGCUCUCAACGAGUCGAGUUGUUUGGG